rnacentral:rRNA from 1 species
UACGAAGGGGACUAGCGUUGUUCGGAUUUACUGGGCGUAAAGGGCGCGUAGGCGGCCAGCACAAGUCAGUUGUGAAAUCUCCGAGCUUAACUCGGAAAGGUCAACUGAUACUGUGCGGCUAGAGUGCGGAAGGGGCAACUGGAAUUCUUGGUGUAGCGGUGAAAUGCGUAGAUAUCAAGAGGAACACCUGCGGCGAAGGCGGGUUGCUGGGCCGACACUGACGCUGAGGCGCGAAAGCCAGGGGAGCGAACGGG